rnacentral:rRNA from 1 species
CAGCAGCCACGGGAAUACGAAGGGUGCAAGCGUUACUCGGAAUUACUGGGCGUAAAGCGUGUGUAGGUGGUUGUUUAAGUCUGUCGUGAAAGCCCUGGGCUCAACCUGGGAAUUGCGAUGGAUACUGGGCGACUAGAGUGCGGUAGAGGAUAGUGGAAUUUCCGGUGUAGCAGUGAAAUGCGUAGAGAUCGGAAGGAACAUCUGUGGCGAAGGCGACUAUCUGGGCCAACACUGACACUGAGACACGAAAGCGUGGGGAGCAAACAGGAUUAGAUACCCCCGUAGUCCCUGUCUCUUAUAC